rnacentral:misc_RNA from 1 species
GAUGAAGAACUUAGUGAAAUGCGAUAAGUAGUGUGAAUUGCAGAAUUCAUUGAAUCAUCGAAUCUUUGAACGCACAUUGCGCCCCUCGGUAUUCCGUGGGGCAUGCCUGUUCGAGCGUCAUCUACACCCUCAAGCUCUGCUUGGUGUUGGGCGUCUGUCCCGCCUCCGCGCGUGGACUCGCCCCAAAUUCAUUGGCAGCGGUCCUUGCCUCCUCUCGCGCAGCACAUUGCGCUUCUUGAGGGGCUCCGGUUCGCGUCCAACAAGCACAUUUACCGUCUUUGACCUCGGAUCAGGUAGGGAUACCCGCUGAACUUAAGCAUAUCAAUAAGCGGAGGA